UGUAUUUGUAAAUACYAAAGUAGUAUUAGUUAUGUUCUUGAAACUUAAAAAAUUUGGCGGUAUUUUAGUCUAUUCAGAGGAACCUGUUCUAUAAUCGAUAAUCCACGAUGGACCUUACUUAAAUUUGUUAAUCAGUUUAUAUACCGUCGUUAUUAGAAUAUUUUAUAAGAAUAAUAAUUUUCAUAAAAUUUUAUUAAAAUAUAUAUCAGAUCAAGGUGUAGCUUAUGUUUAAGUAGAAAUGGGUUACAAUAAAUUUAUUUAUACGAAUGUAAAUAUGAAAAAUUUACUGAAGGUGGAUUUGAUAGUAAAAUUAUAAAGAUUAAUAAUUUGAUUUUAGCUCUAAAAUAUGU
rnacentral:rRNA from 1 species